UUACAGCAUAUCAUUCAUAAGUCAGUGGAAUACUAUGAGGUUUCCUUUGUAAUGUACAAAUUAUGCUUAAGAAGCAUUUCUUUUUUCAUUUGUAAUUUCUUUUUAGAUUGACCACAUAUUAUGGACAAAUCAUGAAUGGCUCAUUUGAAGAGGUCUCACCAAUAGCCAGCUAUCUUCAAGAAGGACUCUCAAACUGCUGUUUAGAUCCACAGCCUGAUUGUCUUAUGAAGAAGACCAAGAUAAACACAUUGAGAUAACCCAGCAGUUUCCUGCCACAUAUUCCUUUCACAUCUGCACUGGAACAAGGUAUUUAAUUCGUACUUGCCCUUAGCUGUAUCUGGAAAGCUGAAUCUCCAGCACUGAAUUUUGUUAUGGCUGCACUGUUACUGCCAACAAGUACAGUAGCUGUGUUUUGGCAUUAAGAAUUUUAUAAAUAUGUUGUUUAUUGUAUGUUAAACUAACUAGGAUUGUUCUAUUAAAACAACUUUUUCAUGAUGUAGAGUAAAUAUUCUGUUUUCAGAUACUUGUGUGUUUCAGUUUUAAUGAAAUAGCUUUUUUCAUUUGACUCUUGUUGAACUCAAUCAACCCUGGUUUUUCCCAUGAAUUACACACAUCACCACCUUUUAGAUAAGGAAAGCUGUUUUACAUUUUAGCUCAGUGUUUGAAUACUUCUUGUCAAGAAUAUAUGGGGAUAUAAAUUGGAAAUUUCUGUAACGUGUUUAGUACUACUAUCUGUAACUGAAAGAUUGCAAUAUAAAACUUGUAUCAUUGCUGUAGCAAUAAUCAGCCUGUUUUUGUAGAUGGGGUUUGAGAAAAGGCAUUUUUGAUGCAUGACAUGAAAGAAUUCAGCAUCUUUAUGUAAUGUGGAUUCUGUUGGGGUAAUACUCUUCUGAAUGUACAUGCUGAAUUUUGUACAAGUAUUGAAAUUAUUGAUGCAUAAAAGCA
rnacentral:lncRNA from 1 species